rnacentral:rRNA from 1 species
UACGAGGGGGGCGAGCGUUGUUCGGAAUUAUUGGGCGUAAAGGGUGCGUAGGCGGUUCGGUAAGUCUCAUGUGAAAUCUACAGGCUCAACUUGUAGUCUGCAUGAGAAACUGCCGGGCUUGAGUAUGGGAGAGGUGAGUGGAAUUCCUGGUGUAGCGGUGAAAUGCGUAGAUAUCAGGAGGAACACCUGUGGCGAAAGCGGCGCACUGGACCACAACUGACGCUGAGGCGCGAAAGCUAGGGGAGCAAACAGG